UACGUAGGGGGCAAGCGUUGUCCGGAAUCAUUGGGCGUAAAGCGCGUGUAGGCGGCCAGGUAAGUCCGUUCUGAAAGCCCGGGGCUCAACCCCGGGAGGCGGAUGGAUACUGCUUGGCUCGAGUCCGGAAGAGGCGAGUGGAAUUCCCGGUGUAGCGGUGAAAUGCGCAGAUAUCGGGAGGAACGACCGGUGGCGAAGGCGGUUCUCUGGGCCUGUAC
rnacentral:rRNA from 1 species